AGAACGAACGCUGGCGGCAGGCUUAACACAUGCAAGUCGAACGCUCGUAACAAUACGGGAGUGGCAGACGGGUGAGUAACGCGUGGGAACAUACCCUCCGGUUCGGAAUAGCUCAGGGAAACUUGGAUUAAUACCGGAUACGGCCGAGAGGCGAAAGAUUUAUCGCCGGAGGAUUGGCCCGCGUUCGAUUAGCUAGUUGGUGAGGUAACGGCUCACCAAGGCGAUGAUCGAUAGCUGGUCUGAGAGGAUGAUCAGCCACAUUGGGACUGAGACACGGCCCAAACUCCUACGGGAGGCAGCAGUGGGGAAUAUUGGACAAUGGGCGCAAGCCUGAUCCAGCCAUGCCGCGUGAGUGAUGACGGCCUUAGGGUUGUAAAGCUCUUUCGCUCGGACGAUAAUGACGGUACCGAGAUAAGAAGCCCCGGCUAACUUCGUGCCAGCAGCCGC
rnacentral:rRNA from 1 species